CGUUGUUCAGGCAAGGCUUUGCAGCACAUUCGUCGAUAUCUAUCUCGCAUUGGGUUCCCGUAAAGCCUGUAACACAUUUCAAAAGUUUCAGGUAUCAUUUUAAGCUAUCAUUCGUAGUGAUCUAUUGCACGUAUCCUGUUCAUUGAAGUGUGAAUGGCAGUGAAUAGCAAUAGAAAAAUUUGACGGAGGUAGCACCUGCAAUAGGAGAAGAUACCGACUGUUAUAAAAGAGAAAUACAAAAGUCGAAGAAGCCGUUCGCGGAUGAAUCUAACGGUAAAACGUACGAGUUAUCUCAUUCAAGUGUAUAUAGGAUGAGUUUGCUUAUUGUACAUCGAUCAAUUUGAUCGAUAUUUGUGAUAAUCGAUUGAACACGUGUUUAACUUAGCAAUUUCUUUAUAUAAUUUUUCUAUAUUUUCAAGAUAUUUUCAAACAAAUCUUAUAUAUAUAA